AUGAUGCCUCCUCAAUGUGUCGCUGCCUCCGGACGUGACGCCGGUCUCCUCUGCGGCCCCUUACUGCCACCAUCCUCCUCUUCGCCUCUAGCUGCCCAGAUGCCUGACGGCUGCGGUAGCGUGCCUAUCAUUCAUGGGCGGCUAGACGUCCAGGUUCAUCUCUCUCUCUCUCUCUCAGCAAACCAUGAAGGAUUUGGGACUGCUUGGGCGUGGAACAAAAAACCCAGUGUUUUGUUUUGGUGUUCAGCUAAAGGGGGAAGAUCUGGAUUUACAUUGUUUUAUCAUGGUAUGGCGUUCUUUAUUUUCGCAGGAAGUGCUCCAGCGGAAACACAUCUCAAAUUCCAGGUGUGCAACCAUCUAUUAUUGUUGAUUUUAAGGUUCCUGCAAAUUGGAUUUAAGAGAUGUCUACGUCUAGCUGGGCUCCAAGAAAGGAGAUUCUUUGUUGUCCUUUUAGAUGUCACUCAAAAUGUCACGGUUAUUUCUAAUGCUCACUAUUUUCCUGGCUUUCAUGGGGUCUGA
rnacentral:rRNA from 1 species